rnacentral:rRNA from 1 species
GAUGAACGCUAGCUACAGGCUUAACACAUGCAAGUCGAGGGGUAACGAGAGGAAAGCUUGCUUUCCUUGUCGACGACCGGCGCACGGGUGAGUAACGCGUAUCCAACCUGCCCCCAACUAGGGAAUAACCUUGCGAAAGUAAGACUAAUACCCUAUAAUUUCCUCAGAUGUCAUCUGACGAGGAAUAAAGAUUUAUCGGUUGUGGAUGGGGAUGCGUCUGAUUAGCUUGUUGGCGGGGUAACGGCCCACCAAGGCAACGAUCAGGAGGGGUUCUGAGAGGAAGGUCCCCCACAUUGGAACUGAGACACGGUCCAAACUCCUACGGGAGGCAGCAGUGAGGAAUAUUGGUCAAUGGGCGGAAGCCUGAACCAGCCAGGUAGCGUGCAGGAUGACGGCCCUAUGGGUUGUAAACUGCUUUUAUACAGGAAUAAAGUUAGCCACGUGUGGUUAUUUGUAGGUACUGUAUGAAUAAGGACCGGCUAAUUCCGUGCCAGCCGCCGCGGUAA